rnacentral:rRNA from 1 species
UAGACCGGCCCAACUCGUACGGAAGCAGCAGUGGGAAUAUUGGGCAAUGGGCGCAAGCCCGAUCCAGCCAUGCCGCGUGAGUGAUGAAGGCCCUAGGGUUGUAAAGCUCUUUCGCCAGGGACGAUAAUGACGGUACCUGGAUAAGAAGCCCCGGCUAACUUCGUGCCAGCAGCCGCGGUAAUACGAAGGGGGCUAGCGUUGUUCGGAAUCACUGGGCGUAAAGCGCACGUAGGCGGAUCUUUAAGUCAGGGGUGAAAUCCCGAGGCUCAACCUCGGAACUGCCUUUGAUACUGGAGGUCUAGAGUCCGGGAGAGGUGAGUGGAACUGCGAGUGUAGAGGUGAAAUUCGUAGAUAUUCGCAAGAACACCAGUGGCGAAGGCGGCUCACUGGCCCGGAACUGACGCUGAGGUGCG